GGGUUGUGAGGUUAAGCGACUAAGCGUACACGGUGGAUGCCCUGGCAGUCAGAGGCGAUGAAGGACGUGCUAAUCUGCGAUAAGCGUCGGUAAGGUGAUAUGAACCGUUAUAACCGGCGAUUUCCGAAUGGGGAAACCCAGUGUGUUUCGACACACUAUCAUUAACUGAAUCCAUAGGUUAAUGAGGCGAACCGGGGGAACUGAAACAUCUAAGUACCCCGAGGAAAAGAAAUCAACCGAGAUUCCCCCAGUAGCGGCGAGCGAACGGGGAGCAGCCCAGAGCCUGAAUCAGUGUGUGUGUUAGUGGAAGCGUCUGGAAAGGCGCGCGAUACAGGGUGACAGCCCCGUACACAAAAAUGCACAUGCUGUGAGCUCGAUGAGUAGGGCGGGACACGUGGUAUCCUGUCUGAAUAUGGGGGGACCAUCCUCCAAGGCUAAAUACUCCUGACUGACCGAUAGUGAACCAGUACCGUGAGGGAAAGGCGAAAAGAACCCCGGCGAGGGGAGUGAAAAAGAACCUGAAACCGUGUACGUACAAGCAGUGGGAGCACGCUUAGGCGUGUGACUGCGUACCUUUUGUAUAAUGGGUCAGCGACUUAUAUUCUGUAGCAAGGUUAACCGAAUAGGGGAGCCGAAGGGAAACCGAGUCUUAACUGGGCGUUAAGUUGCAGGGUAUAGACCCGAAACCCGGUGAUCUAGCCAUGGGCAGGUUGAAGGUUGGGUAACACUAACUGGAGGACCGAACCGACUAAUGUUGAAAAAUUAGCGGAUGACUUGUGGCUGGGGGUGAAAGGCCAAUCAAACCGGGAGAUAGCUGGUUCUCCCCGAAAGCUAUUUAGGUAGCGCCUCGUGAAUUCAUCUCCGGGGGUAGAGCACUGUUUCGGCAAGGGGGUCAUCCCGACUUACCAACCCGAUGCAAACUGCGAAUACCGGAGAAUGUUAUCACGGGAGACACACGGCGGGUGCUAACGUCCGUCGUGAAGAGGGAAACAACCCAGACCGCCAGCUAAGGUCCCAAAGUCAUGGUUAAGUGGGAAACGAUGUGGGAAGGCCCAGACAGCCAGGAUGUUGGCUUAGAAGCAGCCAUCAUUUAAAGAAAGCGUAAUAGCUCACUGGUCGAGUCGGCCUGCGCGGAAGAUGUAACGGGGCUAAACCAUGC
rnacentral:rRNA from 1 species